rnacentral:rRNA from 1 species
CAGCCGCCGCGGGAAUACGAAGGGGGCUAGCGUUGCUCGGAAUGACUGGGCGUAAAGGGCGCGUAGGCGGAAUGUACAGUCAGACGUGAAAUUCCUGGGCUCAACCUGGGGACUGCGUUUGAGACGUGCGUUCCAGAGUUUGGAAGAGGGUUGUGGAAUUCCCAGUGUAGAGGUGAAAUUCGUAGAUAUUGGGAAGAACACCGGUGGCGAAGGCGGCAACCUGGUCCUUGACUGACGCUGAGGCGCGAAAGCGUGGGGAGCAAACAGGAUUAGAUACCCGAGUAGUCCCUGUCUCUUAUAC